UGAGAAGAAUUGAGAAACUCCCUCGCCAUCGGGCCACUAGUCUGCUCGGCUCCUCCCAGCGAUUCCCCGUGGUCCUCGCCGGCGGCGGCUCCUCCCAGCGGUUCCCCGUCGUCCUCGACGGCGGCGGCUAGGGACUGAGCGUCCUGCGUCGUUCCUUCUGCCUGCUAGGACGAGCAGUGGAUCGAAUUAACCACAUGCCGUUCGCCGGAGCCAUCGCCAUCGCCGUCCUCUUGCUUGUCCCCUGUGCCAAGGCCACGUCGGGGGGCCUCAUGAUCGAGCAGAUCUUGUCUGACAAGGGGUGUGGUGCCUUCGCCGGCCUCGUUGCCACCACGGCCGGCGUGGGCGAGGUGUUCCGUUCCUUUUUAGAGAAGGAGGCUGAAACCCCCGACGUGUUCGACGUGUUCGGUGAGAAGAGGGCCCGCAAUGCGGGGCUCACCAUUUUCUGCCCAGACGACGAGGCGGUGGCGGCAUUCACUCCGAGAUUCAACAAGCUCAGCGCCUACGCGCAGGUCGCCCUUCUUCUGUACCAUGGAGUGCCGUCGCGUCGCUCCGAGGAGGCGCUCAGGUUGAUCAACGGGGAGGAGGUGCCGACGCUUGAUAAGGGGCCCUUGCCGGGCUCCAGAAGCAUGCUCACCAUCGAUGUCUACGAAGAUAUCGUGGUACUUUCUUCGCCGUUGCCGUCGCCGUCGGUUGCUGCUGUCACCGAGAUGGUCGUCGACCACGACCGCCUGGCUGUCUACAUCAUCGACGACGUGAUGAUUCCGAGAGAGCCAGAGAUUGGAUUCCCAGCCUUGCUUCUUUUCUUUGGGCUCCUGGCGUUGGCAGCGCUGGUGCUCGCGCAGGUAUUAUUGAUCUUCGGUGACGUCUGAGAAGAUCGUUUCGUGUCAAGAUCGCUACUACCUAUGUUGUGGCUCCAUAUAUAAGCGACAAGGACCUUAGUUCAUGAUUGUUUCAUUUACAUCAGCUGGCCUAAUGUUAACUACUUCUGCAUCGACAUUAUCCUGCUCUGCGUCAUACUUGUGUGCUUAAGAAGUGAGUGAGGUGCAACGGUGUGCUCAUGCGUGGUCGGUAGUGAUCUUGCAUUGGAUUCCCUACUUGUCAUGUCCUGCUGUGAUGGGUUUCAAGUCUCGUGCCUCGAUUUGAUUUCCUACAUGAGGAAGUGUACAGCCGUGAUUGCUGCAGGUGUUUGCACAUUUCAAAAUGGAUUGGUUGCCUUGCAGGGCUGUGACGGCUUGGUUCUCAUUGAGUCGAUGGUAAACAGUACGGCGGAGAAGGGUGCGAUGCCAAACAACCCAAGCCUCCAGGCUCCAGCUCUUCGAAGUCAUCGCGCCGAAGGCAGCCAUUGAGGUGUCUGAAUAAUGCUUGUUGCCUGGCAAUCAGAAGAUGCAGAUAGACUGUGGAUCGCACAUGCUUAAUCUGCAUAAAGCUCUGCUUCAAGUACCCACACAGGGAUUAGUGCAACAGCUACUCAGCUGGUCUGAAGCAACGGAUGCCUACAUACAUUACAGGCAACCCACUUUUGAAGACAAUUGCAACCAAGUUCAUCCGCCAAUAACAAGCGUGGUCAUACUGUGCGUGUGGCAUGUUUUGUCUGAGACAAAGCCAAUUCCGUUGGCGCUGUAGCACAUGAAGGUUCGCCAUGGCAGCUGGUGUUGUUAAAAAAUGUUCCGCCAGGAUCCUCACCGCGUACUUAUGGUGAUUAUACGCAUUCCUAGCGAGGAGCGUCUCACACGGCGCAUAUGUGUCAUGCUCCUGUAUAUGAAACGUGAUCAUCGACAAUUAAUCCAUAUGCCAUAAUUAAUGCAUAUGCCUAUAUAUACUGAGGCGAGGGUGAGUUUUUAUGCCAUUGCAUCAGAUUGCUUCUAAAACUACCUCAUAAUCUCGCAUGCGGUUCGUGGAAAAUAUGAAGGGGAGCGCUGCGUACACAAUUGCCGUUUUUUUCAUUGGGUGCCUUCUUACGGUUGGACAAUGUCGUCGUGAGCCCGAGAGCACCUACAAAGAUGACCAUGCCAACACGACCACGCUGGUCUCGUCACCUGACGAGAGCAAACUUACCUUGAAAUUUUGUCUCGAUAGAGAUUGUAAGACCAAAGGUGAAAACUUUAGAACCUGGUGGGCGAAAUGCAUAUGCUGCGUCACUCUGCCAGACGUACCGUGUUACGAUUCCUACGAAGAGUGUCAAAAUAAGUGCCCAAGUAUACCGCAGCCCAUACUUGCAAAUACGGGUGGGCAUUAACGGAAUACACUACUAUAAGAUAGUGUGUUGAUUGGUACUACCU